GCAAACUUGGUCAUUUAGAGGAAGUAAAAGUCGUAACAAGGUUUCCGUAGGUGAACCUGCGGAAGGAUCAUUAAAAUAUUACUGGUUAGCUUUGGAGAUUCCUCUAAAGUUAAUUAUGUAUUUCAAUCACUUGUUUACUUAUACCUGUUGCUUCCGUGAAAAUUAGGGUGCCUGCGCUAUUCGUAGUUGUAGGUUACCUUUCACGGGUGUUUUAUAAAAAAAUUUGUUUUGAAUGACUUGUCUGAUUAUUAGUUUUAAAUAAAGUUAAAACUUUCAACAACGGAUCUCUAGGUUCUCGCAUCGAUGAAGAACGCAGC
rnacentral:misc_RNA from 1 species